UAAUACAGAGGGUGCGAGCGUUGUCCGGAAUUACUGGGCGUAAAGGGCGCGUAGGCGGCCCGAUAAGUAGGAGGUGAAAUUCCGUGGCUUAACCACGGAACUGCCUUCUAGACUGUCAGGCUUGAGCACGGUAGAGGCAGAUGGAAUUCCCGGUGUAGCGGUGGAAUGCGUAGAGAUCGGGAAGAACACCAGUGGCGAAGGCGGUCUGCUGGGCCGUUGCUGACGCUGAUGCGCGACAGCGUGGGGAGCAAACAGGAUUAGAUACCCUGGUAGUCCACGCCGUAAACGAUGGGCACUAGGCGUCGGGGGGAGCGACCCUCCCGGUGCCGUAGCUAACGCUCUAAGUGCCCCGCCUGGGGAGUACGGCCGCAAGGCUG
rnacentral:rRNA from 1 species